rnacentral:rRNA from 1 species
GACAGAGGGUGCAAACGUUUGUUCGGAAUUACUGGGCGUAAAGCGCGUGUAGGCGGCCAUCUAAGUCGGGCGUGAAAUCCCACGGCUCAACCGUGGAAGUGCACUCGAAACUGGAUGGCUUGAGUUUGGGGAGAGGGAUGCGGAAUUCCAGGUGUAGCGGUGAAAUGGCGUAGAUAUCUGGAGGAACACCGGUGGCGAAGGCGGCAUCCUGGACCAAAACUGACGCUGAAUAGCGAAAGCCAGGGGAGCAAACGGG